GCCGGGGUAGCUCAACGGUUGAGCAAUGCUUUUGUAAAGCAAAGGUUGAAGGUUCGAAUCCUUUCCUCGGCU
rnacentral:tRNA from 1 species